rnacentral:rRNA from 1 species
GUGCAGCAGGCGCGAAAACUUCACACUGUGCGAAAGCACGAUGAGGGAAUCCCAAGUGCUUGCACGUAAGUGUAAGCUGUUUCUCUGUCUAAAACGCAGAGAGAGUAAGGGCUGGGUAAGACGGGUGCCAGCCGCCGCGGUAAUACCUGCAGCUCAAGUGGUGACCGUUAUUAUUGGGCCUAAGACGUCCGUAGCCGGUUUAAUAAAUGCCUGGGUAAAUUGUGUAGCUUAACUAUACGAAUUCCGGGUAGACUGUUAAACUUGAGACCGGGAGAAGUUAGAGGUACUCCUGGGGUAGAGGUGAAAUUCUGUAAUCCUAGGGGGACCACCAGUGGCGAAGGCGUCUAACUAGAACGGGUCUGACGGUGAGGGACGAAGCCCUGGGGCGCAAAACGGGGAUUAGAUACCCCUGUAGU